UACGAAGGGUGCAAGCGUUACUCGGAAUUACUGGGCGUAAAGCGUGCGUAGGUGGUUUGUUAAGUCUGACGUGAAAUCCCCGGGCUCAACCUGGGAAUUGCGUUGGAGACUGCAAGGCUGGAGUCUGGCAGAGGGGGGUAGAAUUCCACGUGUAGCAGUGAAAUGCGUAGAGAUGUGGAGGAACACCGAUGGCGAAGGCAGCCCCCUGGGCCAAGACUGACGCUCAUGCACGAAAGCGUGGGGAGCAAACAGG
rnacentral:rRNA from 1 species